rnacentral:rRNA from 1 species
CUGCCUGCCCUGUGACCCUGUGUUUAACGGCCGCGGUAUUUUGACCGUGCGAAGGUAGCGUAAUCACUUGUCUUUUAAAUGAAGACCUGUAUGAAUGGCAAAACGAGGGCUUAACUGUCUCCUUCCUUUUAUCAGUGAAAUUGAUCCCCCCGUGCAGAAGCGGGGCUAAAACCAUAAGACGAGAAGACCCUAUGGAGCUUUAAAUACUUAGCAAUCCUUUGUCAAACACCGCUAAUACCAGAGCAAACAAUGAGGUAAUUACUUAACUAUUUUUGGUUGGGGCGACCGCGGGGAAAAAAGAAACCCCCGUAAAGAUAGAGGUGAAACCUUAAAACUACGAACCACUGUUCUAUGCAACAAAAUCUUUGACCUAUGAUCCGGCGAAGCCGAUCAACGGACCGAGUUACCCUAGGGAUAACAGCGCAAUCCCCUUUAAGAGUCCCUAUCGACAAGGGGGUUUACGACCUCGAUGUUGGAUCAGGACAUCCUAACGGUGUAGCCGCUGUUAAGGGUUCGUUU